rnacentral:rRNA from 1 species
CCUACGGGAGGCAGCAGUGGGGAAUUUUGGACAAUGGGGGAAACCCUGAUCCAGCCAUUCCGCGUGAGUGAAGAAGGCCUUCGGGUUGUAAAGCUCUUUCGGCAGGAACGAAACGGCGGGCUCUAACAUAGUCUGUCAAUGACGGUACCUGAAGAAGAAGCACCGGCUAACUACGUGCCAGCAGCCGCGGUAAUACGUAGGGUGCGAGCGUUAAUCGGAAUUACUGGGCGUAAAGCGUGCGCAGGCGGCUUUGUAAGACGGAUGAAAAAUCCCUGGGCUUAACCUAGGAACUGCGUUCGGGACUGCAAAGCAAGAGUGCGGAAGAGGGGGGUGGAAUUCCGGGUGUAGCAGUAAAAUGCGUAGAGAUCAGGAGGAACACCGAUGGCGAAGGCGGCCCCCUGGGUUGGCACUGACGCACAGGCACGAAAGCGGGGGGAGCAAACAGGAUUAGAUCCCUGGGUAGU